UCCCUAUGAGGAUAUUUUCUGCUUAAAAUGUUAAGAUCCCUUUUCUUUUCCUCAUCUCUAUCACCACGACAUCAAAUUAAUGUUCUGAAGUGACACUUACUACAAAGAAAGUGCUAAAAUCAAGGUGAAUAUUCCCUUCUCAAAAGCUAGUAUAUAAUAAAUCAAAGGUUGCUUGUUUUUCAGGUAUGUAAAUUUCAUCUGUCUUUUGAAGGACCAACAAUUCAUCAAGAGAAGAAGAAGUGGUUGUACAUUUUGGUACGCAGAAAUAGGAAGUAAACCUAAGCCAUGUUUUGUAAAGUAUAAAGAACUAAGAGAACACAGCAAAUGUUCACAACUCAAGACUCACACCUACCAACUAUGUAAAAUACGCCAAUCUCCAGAUUCUGUCUCAGGAACAUAUUCUGUCCUGCUGAGAAUGGUGCUAAGGAAAGAAAGAAGCCGUGUGCCCUUAGGAACCAGUGGAGACUAAUAUUCCUGACAUUUGUUCCUCAAGACAUGAUUUUUCUCAGGUGAGGAGAGAAGCUAGACGGGCUGACACUUCUCCACCCGGAAACACUUGGAGAAGAGAAUAACGGCUCUACGCUAACAUUUUAUUUCAAUUUAUAAAUAAAAUGCCUUGGACUCUUAUUUAUGAUUUCUGG
rnacentral:lncRNA from 1 species